ACGGAAGGCAGCAGUGGGGAAUAUUGCACAAUGGGGGAAACCCUGAUGCAGCGACGCCGCGUGAGUGAAGAAGUAUUUCGGUAUGUAAAGCUCUAUCAGCAGGAAAGAAAAUGACGGUACCUGACUAAGAAGCCCCGGCUAACUACGUGCCAGCAGCCGCGGUAAUACGUAGGGGGCAAGCGUUAUCCGGAUUUACUGGGUGUAAAGGGAGCGUAGACGGCUUUGCAAGUCUGAAGUGAAAGCCCGGGGCUCAACCCCGGAACUGCUUUGGAAACUGUAGAGCUAGAGUGCAGGAGAGGUAAGUGGAGUUCCUAGUGUAGCGGUGAAAUGCGUAGAUAUUAGGAGGAACACCAGUGGCGAAGGCGGCUUACUGGACUGUAACUGACGUUGAGGCUCGAAGGCGUGGGGAGCAAACAGGAUUAGAUACCCUGGUA
rnacentral:rRNA from 1 species